AGGCCGCGGUAUUUUGACUGUGCAAAGGUAGCAUAAUCAUUUGUUUAUUAAUUGUGAACUUGUAUGAAUGGUGUGACGAAAUAUUAACUGUCUUAUUAUAAAAUUAGAAAUUAAAUUUUGAGUUAAAAUGCUUAAAUUUUUUUUUGUUGGACGAGAAGACCCUAUAGAUUUUCAUUAUUUGUUUAAUAAGUUUUUUUAGUAUAUUUUAUUUUUAUUGAGUAUAUUUUUUUGUUGGGGUGACAUGGAGAAUUAUUUGAAUUAACUCUUUAUAUAUUUUUUACAAUUAUUUUUGAUUUAUUGAAUUUAUUUUAUUGAUAAAAGAUAAAAUACCUUAGGGAUAACAGCGUAAUUUUUUUUGAGAGUUCAUAUUGACAAAGAAGAUUGCGACCUCGAUGUUGGAUUAAGAUUAUUAUAAGGUGUAGGGGCUUUAAAAAUAAGUCUGUUCGACUUUUAAAAUCUUACAUGAUCUGAGUUCAAAACCGGAG
rnacentral:rRNA from 1 species